UGAGGAUAUGAUAGGUAAAAAAGAUGUUAGUUCUCCAAGAAUUAGAAUAUCAUCUCUCACCCAAGAGUCUAAUUUGUACAAAAUAAGAAGUUGAAUUCCUGAUUUUACGUGGGUUCCACUCGCAUUUUUGUUCCUCCAUGUGAAUUAAAACACAUGAGUAUCCGUAAUAUGAAUUCCACUCCUUAUUUUAAUUUCGAUUACGAAUUAAUAAACAUGCCAUACAGUACAUUAAUCUCUCUGUUAAGAUU
rnacentral:lncRNA from 1 species